UACACGACAGUUUGAAGCGUACUUCGACGCUGGAAGCACCCAGAUAGAACUUCGAUAGCUAUUGAAAUGCGAUUUCUGCUGCCCAUGUUGUUUAUGGCAGUUUGUACUGCGGUGCUAUCGACUCAAUCGGAAGAAACCGGCACUUGCAGCCCUUGGAAUGGAAUGUGUACAGUGUCUGAAGAUUGUUGUCGCCAUCUUGUUUGCCUUACAUAUGCAGCUAAAUGUGUGCCAAAUUUAGUGUAUAUUCCAGGACAAGACAAAAGACCUAUUGGAAAUGGACCAUUUCCUCCUGGUUAUCCAAGCGAUUGAGUACUAUGUAAAAUUAUUUACGUUUUCGCUUUUCCCCUUAAACUCUUUAUUUAUCCAUAACAAAAAAGAUACUUUAACAUGUUUCAUUUUUGUUUAAUAAAUUUUGAUGCCUUUUAACAAAUCGUAUAAAUAUGUAUCCUCGUUCGAAUUGAACAUUCCUUAUUGUAUAAAAAGAAAACAAGCAAUAAAAUACUUAAAAAUAUCAAUACAUAUUUCCUCGUCUUCGUUGUUACUAUAAUAGCUGAAUCAUAUGGAACCGUGAAUCAACGGCUAAAAAGAAAUAAGUGACUGAUAAAAAUAUCUGCUGAUAGCAACGCAAAAGUAAUAUUAAGAUAAGAAAUACUUCUCACAGAAAUUUUUUUUUGUAAAACGUUUCAAUUUUCACUUGUCCUAUGCGAAGGUUCAUUGUGAUAUCAGUUUCAUCAUAUCACGAGUCUUAUUUCUGACUGUUAGCAUACGUUGUUAUUUAAAUAAACGAAAAAUUAUCACUGCUCGUUUAUAUUACAUAUAACAUAGCAACAUAAUUUGAAACUUCAUCCGUUCCUGCGGAUAUUGCGUAGAAAAUGUCAAAGUUUUCAAAUGACCUAAUCUUUUGACAGUUUAGUGGUAGUAUCAUCGUAACGAUAAGUAAACGAAAUUGUAUAACAAACAAACAACGAGAUGCGUUAAAAAAUUUUUAAUUUUGAAAUUGCAAAGUUGUGACGUUGUAUGGUGAUGUUUUUCAAAAGCAGAUUUACCAAGGAGGGAAAGAAAGCUACGGUUGCGGCGCGCCGGCUCGUUAUAACCAGAAAAAAAGAGAUAAAAAUAUACUUGUUGCACGUAUACACGUUGUGUACAUUCAACUUUCAAGGACGAACUGUAUCACGUAUUUUCCAUUUCCGACAGACUUCUUAGUUUUCCCAUCGUAUCUGUUUUGGAAAGUAUGACGAAAUAUGUUGAAAGACAGUUAUAUACAUGUUAUAGUUAUAUACAUGCAAUCUACAUAACAAUUAUAACUAAAAGAUAAAAAUUUGCUCAUUAUUAA